ACACCGACUUACUAGGUGUGAUGAUGGAAUCCAACAACGAGACGAAGAAGAAUGUUGCGAUGACUAUAGAAGAAGUGAUUGAGGAAUGCAAGCUGUUCUAUUUCGCCGGCCAAGAGACAACCUCUGUUCUACUUGUUUGGACCAUGAUCCUCCUAAGUAAGUACCCGAAUUGGCAAGAAAAAGCAAGACAAGAGGUCUUGCACGUCUUGGGCAAUGAUAAUGAUGUGGACCCUGAUUAUAGUGAUCUCGGCCACCUUAAAAUCGUAACUAUGAUUUUGUACGAGGUUCUGAGAUUGUAUCCACCGGUUGUGAUGUUAAAUCGAGCCGUCGAGAAAGAUACGAAACUGGGGGAUGUUACUUUGCCUGCUGGGGUACAAGUUGUACUACCGGCUAUCCUCAUCCACAAGGACCAGGAAGUUUGGGGUGAUGAUGCUGGCGAGUUUAACCCAAAGAGAUUUGCGGGAGGAGUUUCUCAAGCGACGAAAAAUCAACAAGUUGCAUACUUUCCAUU
rnacentral:lncRNA from 1 species